AGGAAAAAAAAAAAAAAAGUCUGCCAGAGGUUUGGCCUCCAACUGUGAAAACGACGCUGCCUUUUCAAACUCUUCUCCUAGAUCCACUGACCAACACCCAGAAGAGAGAAUUUACAUUCCUUUAGACUGCAGCAGGAAAAUGAAGACCCGGAUAAAAAUCAUAUUUGGCGUGGUUAUAUGCCUUUUGCUUUCCUUACUACUUAUGUGUAUUAUACUGCUUCCAUCAAGAGCUUCUGUUCCUACCAGUAACAAGAAUUGGAUCAUGCUGCGGAACAGGACUUAUUCAGACUUCAUCUUUUC
rnacentral:lncRNA from 1 species